rnacentral:rRNA from 1 species
GACGAACGCUGGCGGCACGCCUAACACAUGCAAGUCGAACGGAGAACCUUCGGGUUCUUAGUGGCGGACGGGUGAGUAACACGUGAGCAACCUGCCUCUCAGAGGGGGAUAACGUUUGGAAACGAACGCUAAUACCGCAUAACGUAUUUUGAUCACAUGGUCUUAAUACCAAAGGAGCAGUCCGCUGAGAGAUGGGCUCGCGUCCGAUUAGAUAGUUGGCGGGGUAACGGCCCACCAAGUCGACGAUCGGUAGCCGGACUGAGAGGUUGAACGGCCACAUUGGGACUGAGACACGGCCCAGACUCCUACGGGAGGCAGCAGUGGGGGAUAUUGGCACAAUGGGGGAAACCCUGAUGCAGCGAUGCCGCGUGAAUGAUGACGGUCUUCGGAUUGUAAAGUUCUGUCGUUAGGGACGAGUAAAUGAACGGUACCUAACAAGAAAAGCUCCGGCUAACUACGUG